GCCUGGGUGGCGCAGUCGGUUAAGCGUCCGACUUCAGCCAGGUCACGAUCUCGCGGUCCGUGGGUUCAAGCCCCGCCUCGGGCU
rnacentral:tRNA from 1 species